CCCUCGAUAGCUCAGUUGGCAGAGCAGAGGACUGUAGGUAGAUGUUACAACGGUGAUCCUUAGGUCGCUGGUUCAAAUUCGGCUCGAGGGA